GAGAAAGAUCGAGUACAAGAUGGAAGACUUGGGAGGAUGAUAAGUGACGUCGCCAAGAGACUACACCGAGCAGGUCUCAAGUCAAAGGAUAUGACAAAGAUAGGAUCGAGUAGUCUGACUCGACUUCUAUAUUUGCCCAUCUAUAAGUAGCAGACGAUUGUCUCAGGACAUGAAGGCGAGAAGAUUUAGAAGCUCUCAAAGUUAGGUGGAGGUCGAAUGUCGAGUCGAGGUGG
rnacentral:lncRNA from 1 species